GUUAUUAUUUCACAAUCAACAAGUUGUGGUCAAUGCCUUUUCUCCCUAUAUUAUAGAACAUAUAAAUUGCUAAAUUAACAAUACUUUAAAUUCAAUAAUACCAAAAUACUAAUUGGAAGAUAAUGAAGAAGGCAACACUAAUUCAAAAGGUUUUCUUCGUUUCCUUUUUGGUUAUUUUGUUAGGACAAAGAAUCAAGGGAGUCACUUGGUGCAACGAUAGUGAUAUUUGCAUUAAAAAUUUAAAAUGCAAUGAAGGACAUCCUGUAUGUUACUACAUAUCAAACAUGUGUUAUUGUAGACUCCCACAUGAUACUAAGCCUUUUAGGUGCCAAACAACUGCAGAUUGUGCUAGACAAUUGAAUUGUGUACAUGGGAGACCUUCAUGUUUUGCAAAUACAAAAAAUUGUUAUUGUAAACUUCCAAAUAGUAAACCAAAUAUUAAUGAAAAGAUGUGUAAAAACGAUCUCGAUUGCACUGUUCUAUUGAAAUGUUUGGAUCCUGGUGAUGCACCUACGUGUUACCUGAAAACACACAAGUGUUAUUGCAAAAAUUAUUCACAUCCACCAACUGGAUCUCCGCGUAUUAACGCGAGAGAACAACGUAAUUUGUAAAGGGUGAUUUAUUGGAUCAUCGAUUCGAUUUUGAUUUAUCGUAGUCAGAAGUUGUUA